rnacentral:sRNA from 1 species
UCUACAGAAACUGAGGGUCCGUAACCGC